rnacentral:rRNA from 1 species
AGCAUAUCAAUAAGCGGAGGAAAAGAAACCAACAGGGAUUGCCCUAGUAACGGCGAGUGAAGCGGCAACAGCUCAAAUUUGAAAUCUGGCCCUCGGGUCCGAGUUGUAAUUUGUAGAGGAUGCUUUUGGUGCGGUGCCUUCCGAGUUCCCUGGAACGGGACGCCAUAGAGGGUGAGAGCCCCGUCUGGUUGGACACCAAUCCUCUGUAAAGCUCCUUCGACGAGUCGAGUAGUUUGGGAAUGCUGCUCUAAAUGGGAGGUAUAUGUCUUCUAAAGCUAAAUACCGGCCAGAGACCGAUAGCGCACAAGUAGAGUGAUCGAAAGAUGAAAAGCACUUUGAAAAGAGAGUUAAAAAGUACGUGAAAUUGUUGAAAGGGAAGCGCUUAUGACCAGACUUGGGCUUGGUUGAUCAUCCUGGGUUCUCCCUGGUGCACUCUUCCAGUUCAGGCCAGCAUCAGUUUGCUUCGGGGGAUAAAGGCUUCGGGAAUGUGGCUCCUCCGGGAGUGUUAUAGCCCGUUGUGCAAUACCCUGGAGCGGACUGAGGUUCGCGCAUCUGCAAGGAUGCUGGCGUAAUGGUCAUCAGCGACCCGUCUUGAAACACGGACCAAGGAGUCGUCUUCGUAUGCGAGUGUUCGGGUGUUAAACCCCUACGCGUAAUGAAAGUGAACGCAGGUGAGAGCUUCGGCGCAUCAUCGACCGAUCCUGAUGUUCUCGGAUGGAUUUGAGUAAGAGCAUACGGGGCCGGACCCGAAAGAAGGUGAACUAUGCCUGUAUAGGGUGAAGCCAGAGGAAACUCUGGUGGAGGCUCGCAGCGGUUCUGACGUGCAAAUCGAUCGUCAAAUAUGGGCAUGGGGGCGAAAGACUAAUCGAC